GGGAUGACUAUCCAGUGAGGAUAAUGUACAGGAAAACACAAGCCAUUUUUAUUCUCCUUCAUCCCAGUUAACUGGAGGUACUACUGAUAAAGCACUUGUUUGCACUAUGACCUCCUGGAGUGAUGUGCAGCUUGGUUCCUCUCUCGCUUUUUGUUUCUGUUUAAUAAUGCAAUUAUGAGUGUGAGAUCUUCAGUGUGUUUGCAUAAGCUAACUUAAAAUGAAUUUAAGUACAGUUUUCUGCAAUAUUUCUAUCAGAAUAAAUUACUUAAAAAUAUAGAUUGUGUGGGGAUAAUUUGUUUCCAUAUUUACAUUGUUAUCAUUACCUUUGAACGUGCAUUGUAUCAUUAAUUUUUAAAUGUUCUAAUUUGGGUUUGGAUGGUUUUUUUUUUUCUUUCUUUCUCUUUCUAAAAUAGUCGGCAAUGUUUUUGUUGGUACGGCAGGCAUUUUUGUUGGUACGGCAGGCUUCUGUCUGGAUAAAACUCAGUUGCUCUUCUCUGUCUUAGUACGAGGAUAUGCCCCUGGCAUGCAGACAGAUGGGGCCUCAGAGAAUAGAGGUCAAGGGUAUAAGAUUCCCAACCAUAUCUCCCCACUCUGAGAUGUUAGGAUAUAACCAGUCCCUAAAGAGGCCCUCUUUGCUAAUACAGUAUUUCAUAGAUUCUGAAACAUGACACUUUUUCACAUCUUUCUGAAAACUAUCUUCCAGCCUGUGGUGUCUUAAAAUGGAAGAAAUACAGAAAUACCGGUGUUGAGUCUUGGGUAAGUCAUUGGCUGCAUGGUUAAGUCAUGGUGAGUGAGAAAUACCUUCUUGUAAGCCAGUAAACCAAAGAAAGAAAUAAGCCAGGUAUAGUCAUUAUAGACAAACUGGCCAGUAAACAUGAAGAAAAGCUACCUUAAAAAGAACCCCCAGAUGGUUCCAUGUGGCACAGCAGGUUUCAGAUCUGGCGGCGUCACUGCAGUGGCUCAGGUCACCACUGUGUCCCGGGAUUGAUCCCCGACCCAGGAACUUCCACGUGCUGUGGGUACAGCCAAAAAGAACCCCCAUUUAUUUUCUUGCCUUUUUUUUUUUGUCUUUUUUUUUUUUUUUUUUUUUUUUUUUUUUUUGUCUUUUUAGGGCCGCACCCACGGCAUAUGGAGUUUCCCAUGCUAAGGGUCAAAUCAGAGCUACAGCUGCCAGCCUUCACCACAGCCACAGUAACACAGGAUCCAAGCUGUGUCUGCUCACAGCAACACUGGAUCCUUAACCCACUUAGUGAGGCUGGGGAUCGAACCCAUGUCCUCAUGAAUACUAGUCGGGUUCGUUACCACUGAGCCAGAGCCCCCGUUUGUUCUCAUUGAUUAUUAAGACCAGUAUUUCACCCAUGUGGUGCUUGUUUUAAAUGACUUCUGAACACCACCCCAAAUUGACUAAAUCAGAAUAUGAGAAUAUUGAAUUCAAUUUGGACUAAUUUGCCCACAGCCCAGGCUCAACUAAAAGCCUGAAUUUGCUUUGAUCUUGCCUGUUGUAGCCAAGUCGUUCGUCUUGUUUAGGUUCAGACACUGUUAGCAUCUAUAGUAAACUGUAUGGAAGAAAGCCAAGCUGCUGUUUUUACAGCCAGAAGCUAUUCUUAGAUUUUAAUAUGGAAACAGGAGCCUUUUCCGUCAGAUGUGGAAGAAAAACCUAGAGAUUCUCUGUGAGUUUCUUACCUCCUAAGCCGUUAACAGUGAAGUACAAUCAGUGGGCAAACCUCUGCUGAGACCUAAGUUCUGCAGUAGCCAUGUUUUUUGACCUUAGGCAAAGCUCAGUCACGUUUUAACAAAUCUUAACAACUACACAAACAUAGGAUUAGGAUUUCAAUGUUGAAAGAGAUAAAUGACUGGACCUUGUUAUGUGGUCAUAUCUCCCUGGGCCUUUGGGAUAGUCGGCCUACAAAAAAGUCCAGAUUAUGGCCUUGUGCACUUUGAAUUGAGACCUUUGGUUCUGGCCUAACUUACUGUGACACAGCUAAUUAUGCUGUAUGUCUCAUUUCAAAUCAAGAUAAUUCACUGCACUGGGGCAAUGUAAAUUUUAUCAUGAUUCCUUAGUUUUACUAAAUUAAAACUGCCUCCCCUCCUAAAGGAAGGCUCAGGUCUGGCCUUAUGUUUUUCCUCCCUUAAGAAGAGACUUGUAUUGAAGUUCCCAUUGUGGCUUAGUGGGUUAAGAACCCAGCACAGUGUCGUGAGGUUGUGGGUUUGAUUCGUGGCCUCACUUAGUGGGUUAAGGAUGCAUCAUUGCUGCAAGCUGCGUUUUAGGUCACAGAUGCAGCUCAGAUCUGGCAUUGCUGUGGCUGUGGUGUAGACUGGCAACUACAGAUCCGAUCUGAUCCCUAGCCUGGGAUCUUUGUAUGCCACAGGUGUGGCCCUAAAAAAGCCAAAAAAAAAGACUUGUAGUCUGUGUUCUAUUUUCCCAUUGGUUAGAAUCAUCCAUGGAUGCCCUUUGUUCUGUGAGCUUCCUGCCGAAAGAGGCCUCUGCACUAAAGGUAUUUGAUAGGGCUUAUGUCUGAUGGUGACUUUGUUACCAGGCUAAACCCGAGUCCAUUCACCUGCACCCAGUAAAGCCAAUCUACUGUUAGCAUCUAUUGCAGGACACCAAGCAAGGAGAACAGGCAACUCCUGCUCAAAAGACCCAAACUCCCGGAUGGCUUUCAGGGAAAGAGGUGCAUGGUUCAUGAUCUGCUUGUGCCCAGUUCUCAGAUUGGCUGGCAUCAAGGUGAAGUUUCAAGCAUCAUCAACCUUCUGGUUUCAACUAGUCUCUGUUAUUAUGGUCAGUAGUUUUCAUCUGGCGGUGGUUUGCUUCCUGUAAAAUUAGCUUAGGACUGUGUUUCAGGCCUUUAUAUGUUUUAGGGAACUGGGAGUUUAAUGAUUCGCUGUGUGGCAGGUUUAUAGUCUAAACUGUUUAGCAGUUCCCUGGCCCAGCAGCUAUUCUUUGCUUCCACAUCUGCACAUUUCCUAUCACUGUUUCUUGCAUCAGCCAUUUGAGACUCAAGCAAAGAGCCUUUUACCUCAAAGGACAGGGACACAGGGGCUUGUACAUGGUUUCAACUUGACACUGCUCUCUGUUGCAUUUCAAGCUUAUUUUACCUACUCCCUCGGUCCGACCUCAAAAGAGGGAAAGGGAACAUAUCAAAUGAUGUGUGUCUCAUAACCUAGUGAGCGGUGUAUUUUGAAGCAGUGAGGACUUCUUAUGUAACACCCACAGCAGUUUAGAAACCAUCCAUAAAUACUUGUUUCCAGUGGAGCUAAUGAGCGUAUCAGCCUAAUUUAACUUGUAGGAGUGAGACCUCUCCAAUAAUGUCUAUCCCAAAUCGUCUUUCUUCUUUAUACUUCUAGUUUGUUUGUGUAUCUCUCUUUGGGCUAUCUACUUAAUCGUUCACAAUGGAAUUGUCUCCAUAUUUAUUUAGAUCAGUGGUUCUCAACCUUGGCUGCCAUUGAGAAUCAUCCAGGGAACUUUUAAAAAUUGGAAAGCCUGGGCCGCACACCAGACCCGUUACAUAAGCACUGGGGGGGUGGGGUGGGGGGAACAGUAGGAUCCAGGCAUUAGUAAUUUCUCCAGAGUCCCUCAGAUGACAUGAAUGUGUAGCCAGGUUAAAAACCACUAUUAUUUUUUCUCUUUUUUCCUUUUUUUUUUAGGGCUCCAUCUACAGCAUAUGGAAGUUUCUGGGCUAGAGAUCAAAUGGGAGCUGCAGCUGCAGGCCUAUCCCACAGCCACAGCAACACCGCAGCUUGCAGCCGUGCUAGAUCCUUAACCCACUGAGCAAGGCCGGGGGUCAGACCCGCAUCCUCAAGGAAACUAGUCAGGUUCUUAAGCUGAGUCACAACGGGAACUCCAAAAACCAGUUUUUAGAUGGUUGGUUUCCAAACAUUCCAAGCGCUUUAGGACAUUUGCUUUCAAACACCAGAGCAUAUCAGAAUCCCCAGGAGGGCUUGUUAAGAUUUAGAUUGCUGGUCCCACCUCCCCGCCAGAGUUCCUGAUUAAGCAGGUCGGGGGUGGGCCCUAAAAAUGUUCGUUUUUAAUGAGGUCCCAGGUGAUGCUGAUGGUGCUGGUUUUCGGGCCGCACUUUGAGAACCAUGGGAAAUAGAAACUGCGUUAGAAAAGAAAGACUGGAGGGCCCAUCCUCAGUGCCCGCCAAGCUGUGUGUGUGCAGCUUCAUCCCAGUGCAGGUGAUGGAUGGGGAGCACGAGCCUAUGUGCUGGCUGGUAGGAGGGCACAAAAGGAGAAGACAGCACCCCAGAACCCCGAGGAAGCCUCGGGAUGGAAGGAGGCAGGGCCUGGGGCUAGGCAGCGGCAAGGUUGCCAGCAGCUGUGGAGUGGCGGAGAGGCGGGGGCUGGGGAGCCUUCACCCUUAUUUGAUCUCUGGCCCAGCUCCCAUCGCCCCCUGCAGCUCAGUGCUGACCUCUGCAAGACUGGAGCAAUAGCAAUGUUUGGACUGCUUGUAUUUGUUCAAAAAGCAGUCCUUUCAGAACAUCCGUGAUCCCCUUUUCAUCCCUCUAACAACAACAAAAUAUUUUGAAGCGGCAGGAAGAAAAUCAUUCCGGAUUUGAGAGCCUUCAGCAGGGUCAUGUGCUCCAAGGCAUAGCCUCCACCACUCCCUGUAAUCUUGUCACCGAUUUUUCUCCACUCCUUUCUUUACCAGCUUAGGUGUCCUGAUGUGACACCUAGAACCAAGGGUCCCAUUUUAUGACCCAAGACGGAAGCUGUCCCGGAAGCAAAACGGUCUCAAACAGCAGAGGGAAAGAUGGAAAGAACCUAGGACUUCAAUGAUUGUCUCGUGCUGCUGAAACAAACCGACUCUGGGAGAGUCCAGCUGCUGGACGUCUUCCAUGAAAUGCAGCUUCUACAGGUCAUAAAGGUGUAAAGAUGGGGCACGCUGGCAGGGAUGGAUCCCUGGCCGGAGAGUCCGAAGCCCCUUCCACCCCUGCAGCUCUUCUCCAAAGGGAACACUCUGUUCCUUUCCUUGGGUGAACCAGACUCAGGCCCCUGCUGGUUCUUGAGUCAGCGGGGAGGCUGACCCAGCAGCCGCCUUCUGGCCAGGUCAGUUCAGUGUCUGGGCUCUCUCUGGGCCCUGUCGUCCUUUGCUGAAAGCACCAGCUUCUUCAGCGAUGCUGAAUUCUCAUGAAAUGUUAGAGCCUCGUUGCUUUUGUUGCUUUUGUUUGCCUCAUUGCUUUUGUUUUGAUGUGUCUUAAAAUAAUUAGGCUUUUAUUCUCACAUUAUUUCCAUUCACCCCUCCCGGCUAAUGAGGCAUCUAACUCACCACACCAGGGCAGGGCGUGCUACUAUGGUAUCCAGUAAACAGUCGCUAAACAAAGCCAAAAGGCCUGCUCAGAUCAAAUUCCCUUUUGUACUUGCUCUUACAUCUGUCCUGAGCUAGGCAGUUGCUGUCAAAAAAAUGAAAUCCACUGCACCUCUAUGAGGAGUUUAAGAAAAGCAGCCGUUUGGACUUUUUCCAACAACUUCCUUGCAACAGCUUCAUUAUCCAUUUGCUAGUUAGCAAGUUGGUCUAGGAAGAAGUCUUCUUUUACUCUUGGAAAGUAUGCACUUGGAAAUGCCCAGUAAAAACCAGUAUGUGCUGAACGCCUGCUCCCUGCCAGAUUCCGAGGGAUGGGACAGCAUCGCACAGUCAGGCUGGGAACAUGGGGGCCGAGGAGAACCAACCAAGAGGCCUGGUGAGCGAUCGGCUGCCUGAGACCAGCAGAGCAUGUCACCCAGCAGUUGAGGUCAGGCAGGGUCCCUGGGAGGAAGGGACAUACUUCCCUGUCUGAGGGCGACUACCUCCCUGUCACCCAGUCCUUGCACGUGGAGCCCAAACCCACUCUAGGCAAAGGUGGCUAAGCAGCUGGUCUCCUGUCCAGCCCCCUGCGUUUUCCUUCAGACACUGCUGUCAAUUCCCAGUGUAUUUCACAACUUAGCAGUUCGAUGCCUUGGUUAUACUCUUAAUUCCUUUUCUACACAGAAUCUCAAUACUCCUUAUAAUAAUAACCCUGGGAGGAAGGAAUACUUCUUCCCAAGUAACAACAGGAAAAGUCAGAGAGGUUAAGGAAUUUGCCUAAGUCACCCAGCAAGGGGUGAAGCCAGGGUUCAGACUCUCAUGGGUCCCGUCCUCCAUCUGAUGGACCCUGGCCUUCAGAGCUGUAAUUUGCAAUUUUGGCGCCCAGGGCUAAUAGCACAAAAGCUCAGCAAAUUAUAUUGUGAUUUAUUAUGUGCCUCAAAGAACAACCAGCAGCUUCCUGUUUUAGCUGUUCUUGCUUAGGACAGUUUCUAACUGAAGAAAUUCAUGUGCUGUCAACAUGUAAAUGUCAUCCUUUUGUUUGUUUCAACAUCUGUGCCAGGCCAGAGCCUCCCUAUGGGCCUCACAUGGACUGUGCUGAGUCUGAUCCCUGGAGUUCUGCAACCUCACUGCAAACACAAAACACAGAAGAGCUAGCACAGACCAUCCCAAGUUGCUUAAAUGUCCCAUGUCCAUGCUAGACCAGAAAAGUUCUGUGUGAUCAGAAGGAGAAGUGCCCUGUUGUGGCCUAAAGAGGUUGGGGAGGCUGAAAGGAGGCGACCAGAUUGAUGUAUGGACAGGAUUUAGGGCCGGAGGGGAAUUGAAAGCGAGAAAUGGAAGCAUACAAUUGAGGCUGGGACGGGAGAGGACAUUGACAAGAGGCAGGAUGAAAAGUUG
rnacentral:lncRNA from 1 species